GGAGUUAGCCGGUGCUUCUUCUGUGAGUGAUGUCCUUCCUGCCGGCUAUUAACCCGCAGGCCUUCUUCCUCACUGAAAGUGCUUUACAACCCGAAGGCCUUCUUCACACACGCGGCAUGGCUGGAUCAGGGUUGCCCCCAUUGUCCAAUAUUCCCCACUGCUGCCUCCCGUAGGAGUCUGGGCCGUGUCUCAGUCCCAGUGUGGCUGAUCAUCCUCUCAGACCAGCUACGGAUCGUCGCCUUGGUGAGCCGUUACCUCACCAACCAGCUAAUCCGACAUAGGCUCAUCCGAUAGCGCGAGGCCCGAAGGUCCCCCGCUUUCCCCCGUAGGGCGUAUGCGGUAUUAGCCUGGGUUUCCCCAGGUUAUCCCCCACUACCGGGCAGAUUCCUAUGCAUUACUCACCCGUCCGCCGCUCGCCACCAGGGAGCAAGCUCCCCGUGCUGCCGCUCGACUUGCAUGUGUUAGGCCUGCCGCCAGCGUUCAAUCUGAGCCAGAAUCAACUACUGA
rnacentral:rRNA from 1 species